UUUCUUGACUGGAACAAUGUGCCUGAUGAUAUUGUUGAUGCUAUUUGGAAGGAUGUGAAGGACAAUUUGAAUAUAUGUCCAGAGGAGUACAAGCCAAUCUGCAUGAAAAACUGCAACAGCAUAUGGAAGGAUCAUAAGAACAAGAUUAAGGCUACGUAUUUCAAGCCUAGAAGUUCUGAUCCUAAUCUGAAGGAUGAUGUUCCUUUGCACAUUGUGCCAAGCCAGUGGGAAGAACUAGUGGAGUAUUGGCAUACUUCUGAUGCUGAGGUAUACAAAUAAGUUAUAUUUAUGAUAUGUAAA